CCUACGGGAGGCAGCAGUGAGGAAUAUUGGUCAAUGGUCGCAGGGCUGAACCAGCCAAGUCGCGUGAGGGAUGACGGUCCUAUGGAUUGUAAACCUCUUUUGUCAGGGAGCAAAGGGCGCCACGUGUGGCGUUUUGCGAGUACCCGACCAAGAAGCCCCGGCUAACUACGUGCCAGCAGCCGCGGUAAUACGGAGGGGGCAAGCGUUAUCCGGAUUCACUGGGGGUAAAGGGAGCGUAGACGGCUAGACAAGUCUGGGGGGAAAGGCCGGGGCCCAACCCCGGGCCUGCGCUGGAAACUGGCUGGCUGGAGUACAGGAGAGGUACGUGGAAUGCGUGGUGUAGCGGUGAAAUGCGUAGAUAUUAGGAAGAACACCAGUGGCGAAGGCGGCUUACUGGACUGUAACUGACGUUGAGGCUCGAAAGCGUGGGGAGCGAACAGGAUUAGAUACCCCAGUAGUC
rnacentral:rRNA from 1 species